rnacentral:rRNA from 1 species
CGCGUAGGCGGCAUGACAAGUCACUUGUGAAAUCUCCGGGCUUAACUCGGAACGGCCAAGUGAUACUGUCAAGCUAGAGUGCAGAAAGGGCAAUCGGAAUUCUUGGUGUAGCGGUGAAAUGCGUAGAUAUCAAGAGGAACACCUGAGGCGAAGGCGGGUUGCUAGGCUGACACUGACGCUGAAGCGCGAAAGCCAGGGGAGCAAACGGGAUUAGAUACCCCGGUAGUCCUGGCCCUAAACGAUGAAUACUUGGUGUCUGGAGUUAUUAAUGCUCUGGGUGCCGUAGCUAACGUUUUAAGUAUUCCGCCUGGGGAGUACGCUCGCAAGAGUGAA